rnacentral:lncRNA from 1 species
UGGGAGAUUACCCAGGACAAGAGGAAUUCACGCAUAGGCAGAUCACCUUGCUCUCUAGAGAAAUUCAACAAGGAAGUCCAAUGUGGUAGCCCAGGAUGACUGGCCAGCACUGAAAGUCACCUCAUACAGGGAUACUCACAGCUGUCCUGAGUCCUACUUGCUUUUCCUCAGUCACAGAGAUCCCCACCCUCAAUCUGGUCACUUUCUUACCUGAUAAAGAUCAAAUCAGUUUCCAUUCCUAAAGUGAAACUGUUUCUGCUCACACAAAGCGUGGAACAAAAGGUUCAUUAUUUCCAAUGUCUGCACUAUGAACAAUGUAUCCACUCAGAAGCUAUCACCAAGGACAACAAACUAAGAACAAAACCUGUAAGGUCAUUCAGUCACACAAGAGCUAUUUAUUUUAAAGAAGAUCCUUGUAUACUGCAGCAGAGGUCAGUUUAGGAUCCAGUUGGGGUAGGCAACACAAACAAGGAAAACGAGUAAGAAUUUG